GUAGGUGGCAAGCGUUGUCCGGGAAUUAUUGGGGCGUAAAGCGCGCGCAGGCGGUUUUUUAAGUCUGGAUGUGAAAGCCCACGGGCUCAACCGUGGGAGGGUCAUUGGAGACUGGAGAACUUGAGUACAGAAGAGGAAAGCGGAAUUCCACGUGUAGCGGUGAAAUGCGUAGAGAUGUGGAGGAACACCAGUGGCGAAGGCGGCUUUCUGGUCUGUAACUGACGCUGAGGCGCGAAAGCGUGGGGAGCAAACAGGAUUAGAUACCCUGGUAGUCCACGCCGUAAACGAUGAGUGCUAAGUGUUAGGGGUUUCCGCCCCUUAGUGCUGCAGCUAACGCAUUAAGCACUCCGCCUGGGGAGUACGGCCGCAAAGGCUGA
rnacentral:rRNA from 1 species